rnacentral:rRNA from 1 species
UCCGAUGUGAACAACACCGUAGUGUUGUCCACCUUCGGAUUCUGGAUUCCUUUGUCCCGAGUUCGCCAGGACCAACUGGGGACCGACGAGGCGUCCUUCAGCGUCACCGUCGUCUAUCAGCCGCUACCGGACCAGAGGCAUAGCGGCAUCGCCUUCCUCAUCCUCCCCCAUUGGGCCCUAAUUGAUCUCGAAUACAACGGGGCAAAUAGCUCCUUAGCGAAGCAACUGGUGGCCAGAGACAUCGGCUUCGUCGACCCCAAAUCUGUAACCCGAAGCGCCUCCUUCUCCGGCAGCUCCGUCUCAGUCGGGAUGGGCGUGCUGGCUAACCUCACGACCGCAAGGUACAAUGGUCGCGCCAUGGUAGUGGAAAUCAUCAUCCAUCAGGAGGUGGCAGAUGCCAUCUCUAACUAUUCAGUGUGGAUCGACUACAACCGCGUGGGGCGCAGUUUCUCGGUCUACGUGGACGUUGAAGGCAAGCCAAAGCCUGAUUACAACAUAGUCGAGAUGCAACAGAACAUCAGCAUCGAUUUCCCGUAUGCUAGUUUCGGCCUCGUCUCCACGGCUGCACAAUUGCUUCAGCCCCGAGGCAUCACAUGUAGGGCAACGGUUGAAGGCCUCCCUCCCCACUACCACGACAAAGGAGGCACCCAGUCGAGGAAGGUAACCAUCCUGUCAUCCGUCCCCGGGUCCAUAGCCACUGCCGCCGCAAUGGCCGCCGCCGUGGCGUGCUACUUGAACUCGAGGUACCGGCGGUGGCACAAGGACCUGGACCAGCUCGCCAAGUCUAUGGAGCGACUCCCAGGGGUCCCAUUGAAGAUCGACUUCGCAGACAUCAACAAGGCCACCCGCAAAUUCCAUGAGGACAUGAAGCUCGGCAGAGGAGGUUUUGGCACUGUGUACAGGUGCACGCUCCCCGCCGCCGCUUCCAAGAUGGAGCGGCCCAUGGACGUGGCCAUCAAGAGGUUUACGCGCGAUGUGCAGAAUUGCCGCUACGACGAUUUCCUCGCCGAGGUCAGCAUCAUCAACCGGUUGCGCCACAAGAACAUCGUCCCCCUCAUCGGGUGGUCAUACAACAAAGGAGUGCCGCUGCUUGUGUUCGAGUUCAUGGCAAAUGGUAGCCUAGACCAGCAUCUCUUCCAUAGAGGAGGCAGCGGCACCAGACAGCAGAACACCGAUGGCGCCAUCUGGCAAUGGGCAACCCGCUAUGAGAUCAUCAAGGGCGUAGCCACCGGCCUGCACUAUGUCCACCACGAGUACGAGCCCAUGGUGCUCCACCGUGACAUCAAGGCGAGCAACAUCAUGCUGGACUCGAGCUUUCAGGCCCGUCUUGGUGACUUCGGCCUGGCCUGCACCGUCUCCAUCGACAGGAAUUCCGUCACCGGCGUGGGUGGCACCUGGGGCUACAUCGCGCCAGAGUACCCGGUUAGCCGCAAGGCGACGCGGCAGACUGAUAUCUAUGCGCUUGGGGUGCUCAUCCUCGAGAUUGUCAAUGGGCUGCGGGCAUUGGCUGAUCACGAGGUGGUGGAUGAUGACGACAUACAUAUCACAGAUAGGGUGUGGCGCCUUCACCGUGAGGGGAGGCUACUGGAGUGUGUGGAUGCCAUGUUGACCGACGGUUCAACUCUUGACACCGAGGAGCAGCUAGAUACUACUGACGAUGCGGAACGCCUGCUGCUCCUAGGCCUGGCCUGCAGCAACCCGAACCCGUCAGACCGUCCAACCAUGCCUGAUGUGGUGCGGGUCAUCGCCAAGUCGGUACCGCCACCACAGGUGCCUCCUCAGAAGCCAAGAUUUGCGUGGCCACCUCAGGAAGAGGGACGUCCAGUACCCUCCGAUGAUGGUGGUAGCACGGGUACAUGGAUGAUGAGUAAUCUCGACAAUAGUACGGCAAGCGCUACCGGAGGACAUGCCGCAUUUCAACUCCAACACUCUGUCUACGUGAUGGCAGGCAGUGCCUCUGGUCCAUGA